AAUACGUAGGGUGCAAGCGUUGUCCGGAUUCACUGGGUGUAAAGGGUGCGCAGGCGGGCUCUUAAGUCAAAGGUGAAAUCUCACGGCUUAACCGUGAAAUUGCCUUUGAUACUGAGAGUCUUGAGUACGGGAGAGGGAGAUGGAAUUCCAGGUGUAGCGGUGAAAUGCGUAGAUAUCUGGAGGAACACCGGAGGCGAAGGCGGUCUCCUGGCCCGUUACUGACGCUCAUGCACGAAAGCGUGGGGAGCAAACAGGAUUAGAUACCCUGGUAGUCCACGCCCUAAACGAUGGGUACUAGAUGUCGGUCCCGAAAGGGGUCGGUGUCGAAGCUAACGCAUUAAGUACCCCACCUGGGGAGUACGAUCGCAAGGUU
rnacentral:rRNA from 1 species